GAGUUUGAUCUUGGCUCAGAUUGAACGCUGGCGGCAUGCCUUACACAUGCAAGUCGAACGGCAGCACGGGAGCUUGCUCCUGGUGGGCGAGUGGCGAACGGGUGAGUAAUGCAUCGGAACGUAUCCUGGAGUGGGGGAGUAACGUAGCGAAAGUUACGCUAAUACCGCAUAUUCUGUGAGCAGGAAAGCGGGGGACCUUCGGGCCUCGCGCUCUUGGAGCGGCCGAUGUCGGAUUAGCUAGUUGGUGAGGUAAGGCUCACCAAGGCGACGAUCCGUAGCAGGUCUGAGAGGAUGAUCCGCCACACUGGAACUGAGACACGGUCCAGACUCCUACGGGAGGCAGCAGGUGGGAAUUUUGGACAAUGGGGGCAACCCUGAUCCAGCCAUGCCGCGUGAGUGAAGAAGGCC
rnacentral:rRNA from 1 species